rnacentral:rRNA from 1 species
GAUGAACGCUGGCGGCGUGCCUAAUACAUGCAAGUCGAGCGAACAGACGAGGAGCUUGCUCCUCUGACGUUAGCGGCGGACGGGUGAGUAACACGUGGAUAACCUACCUAUAAGACUGGGAUAACUUCGGGAAACAGGAGCUAAUACCGGAUAAUAUAUUGAACCGCAUGGUUCAGUAGUUAAAGACGGUUUUGCUGUCACUUAUAGAUGGAUCCGCGCCGCAUUAGCUAGUUGGUAAGGUAACGGCUUACCAAGGCAACGAUGCGUAGCCGACCUGAGAGGAUGAUCGGCCACACUGGAACUGAGACACGGUCCAGACUCCUACGGGAGGCAGCAGUAGGGAAUCUUCCGCAAUGGGCGAAAGCCUGACGGAGCAACGCCGCGUGAGUGAUGAAGGUCUUCGGAUCGUAAAACUCUGUUAUUAGGGAAGAACAACUGUGUAAGUAACUAUGCACGUCUUGACGGUACCUAAUCAGAAAGCCACGGCUAACUACGUG